UUAGUUCAUAUUUGUAUGGAAUGGGAUCGUUUGCGUACGUUUGCCGCUAGGGGCGCUGUUCCAAUUGCAUACAAAAUUGGCUUA
rnacentral:pre_miRNA from 1 species